AUAGGGGAGCCGAAGGGAAACCGAGUCUUAACUGGGCGUUAAGUUGCAGGGUAUAGACCCGAAACCCGGUGAUCUAGCCAUGGGCAGGUUGAAGGUUGGGUAACACUAACUGGAGGACCGAACCGACUAAUGUUGAAAAAUUAGCGGAUGACUUGUGGCUGGGGGUGAAAGGCCAAUCAAACCGGGAGAUAGCUGGUUCUCCCCGAAAGCUAUUUAGGUAGCGCCUCGUGAACUCAUCUUCGGGGGUAGAGCACUGUUUCGGCUAGGGGGUCAUCCCGACUUACCAACCCGAUGCAAACUGCGAAUACCGAAGAAUGUUAUCACGGGAGACACACGGCGGGUGCUAACGUCCGUCGUGAAGAGGGAAACAACCCAGACCGCCAGCUAAGGUCCCAAAGUCACAGUUAAGUGGGAAACGAUGUGGGAAGGCUCAGACAGCCAGGAUGUUGGCUUAGAAGCAGCCAUCAUUUAAAGAAAGCGUAAUAGCUCACUGGUCGAGUCGGCCUGCGCGGAAGAUGUAACGGGGCUAAACUGUGCACCGAAGCUGCGGCAGCGACGCUUAUGCGUUGUUGGGUAGGGGAGCGUUCUGUAAGCCUGCGAAGGUGUCCUGUGAGGGAUGCUGGAGGUAUCAGAAGUGCGAAUGCUGACAUAAGUAACGAUAAUGCGGGUGAAAAGCCCGCUCGCCGGAAGACCAAGGGUUCCUGUCCAACGUUAAUCGGGGCAGGGUGAGUCGACCCCUAAGGCGAGGCCGAAAGGCGUAGUCGAUGGGAAACGGGUUAAUAUUCCCGUACUUGGUGUUACUGCGAAGGGGGGACGGAGAAGGCUAUGUUGGCCGGGCGACGGUUGUCCCGGUUUAAGCGUGUAGGCUGGUUUUCCAGGCAAAUCCGGAAAAUCA
rnacentral:rRNA from 1 species